CUGCAAGAAGUUAUGCCAGGGGUUAAUCACAGGUUUUGUACAAUGCAUAUGUGGAGGAAUUUCCAAAAGCGUUGGAAAGAUCUGGAACUUAAACAAUUGUUGUUUCAAUGUGCAAGGGCGUUGACUGAUCAGGAAUUUGCUGAAGGUAUGGCUGCAAUAAAAAGGAUUAAUACAGCAGCCUGGGAAUACUUGUCUGCAUAUGAGCAAGGAACAUGGUCAAGAUCAAGAUUCUCUACCUGGCCAAAGGUAGAUAACAUAACAAAUAAUAAUGCAGAAUCACUUAAUGCAACAAUGGUGGGUUUAAGAGGCAAGAGCAUAAUUACCAUGCUGGAGGAUAUCAGAUAUUACCUGAUGAAAACUAUGGCAUUCCACAAAGAUGCAUUAAUGGCCUACACGGGCAAGCUGGCUCCUAUCCAAACGAGCAGGUUGGAGAAAGAAAAGAAGGAAGGAAAUUACUGGGAAGCUCAGUGGGUGGGAGAUGAUGAUCACAAUGUGUUUGAGGUAAGAAGGCAUGGUCACACACUUCAGGUCAACACUCAAGAGAGGACUUGCACCUGUAGAAAGUGGCAACUGACAGGCCUGCCGUGCUGUCAUGGAGUUGUUGCAAUUCAAAGAAAAAAUCAAAGGCCAGAAGAUUAUGUCCACCAUUGGCUGACUAUGGAGGCAUAUAACAGAACUUACCAAUUUCAUAUCAACACAGUCCCUAGUCAGGAGUAUUGGGCUGAUACAGAGGGACUGCCAUGUCUCCCUCCACCUUAUAAGAGGCCAAUAGGAAGACCUACAAAAAAAAGAGCUCGACAUGAAUCAGAGAGGCAGAGUGGUAGCCAGUACAAACUUAAGAGGAGUUAUGACAAAACAAGUUGUAAACUUUGCAAAAAGGUAAAAAAUAAUCUAACUUGCUGUUGAGUAUUGUCAUAUAUUGAUGGUUGGAAUGAUGUUGUAUUCGUAGGUUGGGCACAACUCAAGAACCUGUCCUGAUAAGAAGUCGCAUGUGGCAUCUGAGGAAGAUGCAACCGCACAGCAAUCACCUCAAGCAGGUCAGGCAGAUGGAGGACAUGUUCAGCCACCAACUCAACAAAAUUUGCCACAUAUGGAUUUAGAGGACAUGUCAGACUCCGAGCAAGAGAGGUUUUGGGAGGAGACCAUGGAUGCAGUUGAACAAGAGCUCACACAAGGCCAUCCACAUUCUGAAGCUGAUGAAGAGGCCAAUCUCAACCUAUCUGGUUCAACAAGUCAGUCUGCUGGAAGGAGAUCUCCUAGGACCAACCCUGGGAGGAGAGCAACCAGAUCUAGCAAAGGUCCUGCAUCAACUCCUAAAACUCCCUCCAAUACUACUGCUGCCGCUGCUGCUUCUUCUAGCAGGGAAGGAAUCAGGGUAAAGAUGCCUAUUAUGAGGCCCCCAUCAGCUCCAUGUCCAGCAGCCACUCCAAGGCCCACAGCUCCAAGUCCAGCAGCCACAACAAGGCCCACAGCUCUAAGUCCAACAACCACUCCAAGGCCCAACCCACCAUUUAGGCCCACACAAGUACGGCCCGUUGGACCUACUUCAACUGCUGUCCCUGGUUUAGGAGUUGCAGAAACCACAAGGACUCCUGUGGUGUCAAAUGAAACCAUGAAUGGAGCUAGUAAAGCAACAACUUCUAGGUUCUCUAAGUUCAUGCCAAAUCAGUCUGGUUGAAAGGGACUUGCAUAUGUGAUUAGUUCUUCUUUUGAGUUAUGAGUUAAAGAUUAGUUGUUAUACUGUUUCUACUUUUUGAGUUAUAUGUUGUUCUUAGCAUUCAUGGCAAUUGGCCUUUGCUGCACAAUUUAUGUCUUUUGGUGUCUGAAAUUAAGACUAAUUAGUGAGUAUUGAGUAUUUUGGUUAGAACAAUAUGUGUUAAGGCUAAUUGUUAUCCAGAUCAAACUUUUUGGUUGGAACAAU